AAAUAAUAACACUUUUAAGGGCUUUUUUUGUAAUAUUUUAUUGGUGGGUUUUGUCAAUCACUCCUUGAAGGGCACCAAGGAGUCAUGUCCAUAGGAUAGCUCCCCAACACCCUUAAGAAAGAAGUGAACUCCUGCACCUCUGCCAAUGCAUUCUGUGCCCUAACUUCUGCCAUCGACGCUUCAAAAUCCAAGUAAACCAUGUACUCAAAGUGCUUUGCCGUCCCGGCACUUGCAUCGUCCACUAGCCUGAUCGGGCAAUCUCGGUGUGGCCGUGACUCGAUCUUCGUCAAGUUGAUGUUACGG
rnacentral:misc_RNA from 1 species